rnacentral:rRNA from 1 species
UACGGAGGAGGCAAGCGUUAUCCGGAAUUAUUGGGCGUAAAGCGUCCGCAGGUGGCACUUCAAGUCUGUCGUCAAAGACUGGGGCUUAACCCUGGAAAGGCGGUGGAAACUGAAGCGCUAGAGUGCGGUAGGGGUAGAGGGAAUUCCCGGUGUAGCGGUGAAAUGCGUAGAGAUCGGGAAGAACAUCGGUGGCGAAAGCGACUUCCUGGACCAAUACUGACGCUCAUGUGCGAAAGCGUGGGGAGCAAACAGG